GACGAACGCUGGCGGCGUGCCUAACACAUGCAAGUCGAACGGAACUGUUUUGAAAGAUUUCUUCGGAAUGAAUUUGAUUUAGUUUAGUGGCGGACGGGUGAGUAACGCGUGAGUAACCUGCCUUCAAGAGGGGGAUAACAUUCUGAAAAGAAUGCUAAUACCGCAUGACAUAUUGGAACCACAUGGUUUUGAUAUCAAAGAUUUUAUCGCUUGAAGAUGGACUCGCGUCCGAUUAGUUAGUUGGUGAGGUAACGGCUCACCAAGACCGCGAUCGGUAGCCGGACUGAGAGGUUGAACGGCCACAUUGGGACUGAGACACGGCCCAGACUCCUACGGGAGGCAGCAGUGGGGGAUAUUGCGCAAUGGGGGCAACCCUGACGCAGCAACGCCGCGUGAAGGAUGAAGGUUUUCGGAUUGUAAACUUCUUUUAUUAAGGACGAAAAAUGACGGUACUUAAUGAAUAAGCUCCGGCUAACUACGUGCCAGCAGCCGCGGUAAUACGUAGGGAGCAAGCGUUGUCCGGAUUUACUGGGUGUAAAGGGUGCGUAGGCGGCUUUGCAAGUCAGAUGUGAAAUCUAUGGGCUCAACCCAUAAACUGCAUUUGAAACUGUAGAGCUUGAGUGAAGUAGAGGCAGGCGGAAUUCCCCGUGUAGCGGUGAAAUGCGUAGAGAUGGGGAGGAACACCAGUGGCGAAGGCGGCCUGCUGGGCUUUA
rnacentral:rRNA from 1 species